AACGUAGCCUUCGUUUUUGUGAGCCCUUGGCGCUUCCGUCUGCGAGUGGUGUGUGGAAUUUUAGGGUUUUCCAGGCAGGGCGCUCGUCGAUCCUUGGUUGCGAGGAGCAAUGGCCGCGGCUAUGGCGCUCAACAACACGUUGAGCCUCGCCGGAUCUCAGUUCAUGGGGCAGAGCGUCAAGCUUUCUACAGUGAAUUGCUCGCCGUCCGGCCGCAGCGCCUCCUUGGUCGUCAGAGCUGGGGGAUACGAUGAGGAGCUCGUCAAGACUGCUGUAAGUGAUCCAUUUUGCUGUGGAAAUCCUGGAAAAAGGUUUUACUGACUGGAAGAUUUCCAUUUCCUUGCGCAUCGUAGAUUGGCAUCGAUUGGCCUCGACAACACCGAGGACAACAGACAAGCUUACAGGGAGCUCCUGAUCACCACCCCUGGCCUGGGAUCUUACAUUUCUGGCGCGAUUUUGUUCGAGGAGACGCUCUACCAGUCGGCGAAAGGAGGCAAGACGUUCGUGGAUUGCCUCAAGGAGCAGAACAUCGUGCCUGGAAUCAAGGUCGACAAGGGUCUCGUUCCACUCGCUGGAUCCAACAACGAGUCGUGGUGCCAAGGACUUGACGGCUUGGCUUCUCGCUCAGCUGCUUACUACGGCCAGGGUGCGAGGUUUGCGAAGUGGCGAACAGUCAUUAGCAUUCCAAACGGUCCUUCCGAGCUAGCAGUGACUGAAGCCGCUUGGGGCCUUGCUCGUUAUGCCGCCAUCUCUCAGGACAAUGGAUUAGUGCCAAUUGUUGAGCCUGAGGUUCUCCUGGACGGAGAGCACGGGAUUGACAGGACCUUGGAGGUUGCAGAGAAAGUCUGGGCCAAGACCUUCUACUACCUGUCACUGAACAACGUCCUGUUCGAGGGUAUCCUCUUGAAACCCAGCAUGGUCACUCCCGGCGCAGACUACAAGGGAACCAAGUCCACUCCCCAGGAAGUCGCCGACUACACGCUCAAGAUGCUCCACCACAGAGUUCCCCCCUCUGUUCCCGGCAUCAUGUUUUUGUCUGGAGGACAAUCCGAGGUGGAGGCGACGCUCAACUUGAACGCAAUGAACCAGAGCCCCAACCCGUGGCACGUAUCCUUCUCGUACGCCCGUGCUUUGCAGAACACGGUGUUGCAGACAUGGAAGGGACUUCCAGAGAACGUCAAGGCGGCUCAAGACGCUCUCCUUGUCCGGGCCAAGGCAAACUCCAAGGCGCAGCUCGGCCAGUACACGGCCGAGGGAGAAUCCGACGCUGCCAAGAAGGAGAUGUUCGAGAAGGGAUACACUUACUAAGAAAGAUCGAUCGAGCGAGCGAAGAACAGCAAGUUCAUUCAUGGCGACAAAAGAGACGAUCGAUCGCAGCGAGGCAGUAUAACUUUCUGGACUAAUAAGAAAACAAUUUUUAUGAGAAACAAAUUCCAAUUUUUAUGUAGUUUGCCCCUUAA